rnacentral:tRNA from 7 species
CGGAUGUAGCCAAGUGGAUCAAGGCAGUGGAUUGUGAAUC